rnacentral:lncRNA from 1 species
CUACUUCCUGUCCACUCUCUACUUCCAGACUGUGAUCACCGUGCCUCUCUCUCCAGCCACUAUGCCUUCCUAGUAUAUGCCGGGCAUGGUCCUGGGGCCAGGUUGCAGCAUUUGUGACUUAGAUGGGUUAUCUACCCAUGAGCAGUCAGAGCUCCCAUAGGUGCCGUGCGUGACUGGAUUCACAUCCUAUCUCUCUCAUCCACAGUGGACUGUGAACAGGACAGCCAUAGACUGAAGGGAGGGGACAGGGCUUCCAGUAAAGGAGCUCUCAGCAUUCUGCGGUUCCCCCUGCUGUUCUCCUCAAAUGCCAGCCCUGACCCCACAGUAUCGUCAGUGUGUCUUGGGAAGAGCGCAUGCGUGCGCCGUCGGAAGGCAGGAUGGGCCACUAGCAGCUCUCCUGAAGUCACCGACAGAAAAUCCGGCCAGGGUUCUUGCUCUAACUGCCACGGUCUGAUCCGGAAAUCCAAGCUGAGUGUGCUGUCAGUGUUUCUGUCAGAACCCAGAGGACACGGCCUUUAUUAAGUUGGACUAAGCGACCUUGAAUGGAUUACUCAAGACUAUCUACCCAGUGAAACUCACCAUGCUAGUUUUUCUACAUAAAGAAAAAAUAAUAAUAAAAUUAAGACCUUAAAAAAAAAAAAGUUCCGC